UUUUGUUUAGUCAUAUUCACCUGAAGAAUUAAAAGAUUGGGUUCAAGCUAUCUGUGGAGCCAUCUUAGCAGCAAGGGCGAAAGGGGGAAGUUCAGGAAAUAAUUCUCUUGUACCCCAGAUGUUAGUUACCAGCACACUCCCUGCUCUGUCCUGGCCUGCUAGGUCAUUGUCACAACCUGAUCCUACUGAAAAUAAAACUCAUCCCUUUUCGCAACUUUCCCAGAGAGGGACACUACAGAUUACGUCAAAG